rnacentral:lncRNA from 1 species
AUAUAUUACUAAUGAAAAAACACUAGAAACAAAGUUGCACAGUGCGCAACAAGAAAUAGAGCAUUUAAAGUUUAGAUUACAGCAUUUGCAAGACAUUCAAAGUCAAACUACUGUAACCAGAGAUGUGGAUUUUGCAGUGCUAAGUUUAUCUGAAAAUAAUUUGAAAUAUGAACUAGAUAAUUGUAGAAUUGAUCUUAAAAAACUUCAACAAGAGUUAGAGUUUUCACUUGAGAGGGAGAAGACACUAAAAGAAAACAAGGAGGUACUAAAGGAAAACAACAUAUCUGAAAAAAAAUCAA